rnacentral:rRNA from 1 species
GUUUACGGUCAUGCCACCCUGAACAAAUCCGAUCCUGUCUGAUCUCGGAAGCUAAGCAGGGUCAGGCCUGGUUAGUACUUGGAUGGCAGACCACCUAGGAAGACCAGGUGCUGUAGGUA